rnacentral:rRNA from 1 species
UGGGGGAUAUUGCACAAUGGGCGAAAGCCUGAUGCAGCGACGCCGCGUGGGGGAUGAAGGCCUUCGGGUUGUAAACUUCUUUUGCUCUGAACAAGGCGCACCAUGGGGUGUGUUGAGUGUAGGGGUUGAUUAGCGCCGGCUAACUACGUGCCAGCAGCCGCGGUAAUACGUAGGGCGCGAGCGUUGUCCGGAAUUAUUGGGCGUAAAGGGCUUGUAGGUGGCUGGUUGCGUCUGUCGUGAAAGCUCAUGGCUUAACUGUGGGUUUGAGGGGGGUACGGGAUGGCUUGAGUGCAGUAGGGGAGGGUGGAAUUCCUGGUGUAGCGGUGGAAUGCGCAGAUAUCAGGAGGAAUACCGGUGGAGAAGGAGGGUCUCUGGGCUGUUACUGACACUGAGGAGCGAAAGCAUGGGGAGCGAACAGG